rnacentral:lncRNA from 1 species
UAUAGUGUUGUUGCAAUUCAUUGACAAUGGGAAUCCAUAUAAUCCCGAGUUUCCAAGGUAUGAGUCAUUUGAAAAAGUCGCAAACUGUUUUCCUUGAGGUAUUUCUCCCACAAGCAGGUUAUUGGAAAGAUUCAGGACUUCAAGAGAGUUCAAAUUGGUUAAUUCUGUUGGAAUCCUACCGAUGAACAUAUUCGAAGAGAGAUCCAAUGAUUCUAAGUUUGUCAAAUAUCCAAUGGAUUUGGGAAUAAGACCACUUAAUCUGUUAUGGGAAAAGUUGAGUCCUCUAAGAGCAUGAAGCUCUCCAAUCACAUCUGGAAUUUGUCCUUCAAAUUUGUUUUGAGAUAAAUCAAUGGUUACAAAGUUUAUUGGAAUUUUAUUGAGUGUCAUACUUAUUGCUUUUGUUGUUACAGUUACAGAUUCAUAUAUAUGCAUAGCUAUAAAUUCAAUCACAAGAAUCGGGGAUGCUUUAACUAACGUAGGUGAUGUGUCCAUGUAUAUCUCGUCCCCUUCAUAUUGAAUGACAUUCUUCAUGGCUUUAAAAUUUUGUAUAUAGGUUUUGGGUAUUGGACCAUUGAAAUAGUUGGAUGAGAUAUCAAAAAUAAUUAUACUUGAAAAUCCAUGCUCCGUCUUUAAAUCGUCAAUGGGAUCGUACAAUUUGUUGGCUCGCAAAACCAAUACUGUCAACAUUGGUAGAGUUUGAAGCCAAUGGGGAAAUUUAUCCUCAAUUUGAUUGUUGCCAAGAUUCAAGAUCUCCAACUCUGUGCAAUUGGACAAAGAUUUUGGCAAAGGACCUUCCAAUUGGUUGUUAUUGAGAUUCAAAAAAGUGAGAUCAGUAUUCAUUGAAAAGGUAGUUGGUAAAGUGCCAUUUAGUUGGUUAUUUUUUAGAUCCAAAAUAAAAAGGGUUUGCAAGUUUACAAGACAUGAUGGAAUGAUGCCUGUCAACUUAUUGUGAGACAAGACAAGAACUUGAAGAUUACUUACAUUACAAAUUGAGGAAGACAUGUCGCCAAUGAGUAAAUUGAAACUAAUAUCAAGGAACUUGAGGUUGUAGUUCCUUGAGAAUUCGUUCAUUGGAGUUUUCAACAAGUUGUGGGAUAGGUUCAAACUUUGUAAUGAAUCAACUUUGUGUAACCACUCGGGCACUGCUCCAUUCAAUUUGUUAUCGGAUAGAUCAAGAUCUAUCAACAUUGGGAUUUUUCCUGAUAAUUUUGGAAAUUUAGUUAAACCUACAGAAGAUAAAUACAAAAGCUCUAAGUUAGGGGCGUUGGUGAAGAUUGGAGAGUUAUGAAGACCACUAAAGUUAUUUGACGAUAGACAUAAUUGAGUAAGGUUUGCAAGGAUGAAGACUGGUUGUGGAAUAUUUCCCUGUAACUUGUUGUAGCACAAAUACAAAGACUCCAAGGAUUGAGCUAAGAUUGAAGGUGUAUGGCCUGUGAAUUGAUUCUUUGAUAGAUCCAGUUCUUGCAAAAAUGGCAAAGAUAAACACCAAGCAGGAAUUGUCCCAUUCAAUAGGUUGUCUUUGAGGGAUAAAAAAGUUAGAUUUGAAAGCCCGGUUACUUUGCUAGGUAGAGGGCCCUCCAAUCUAUUCUCUGAAAGAUCCAAGUGAAGAAGAUGUUGAAGAUUUGAAAGUGAUGAUGGAAUUUGGCCACUGAAUCGAUUGUUUCGAAGAUCCAAAAAUGUUAGAUGUGGAAGGGUUAAGAUUGAGGAUGGGAUUGAAUCGUUGAGAUAGUUAAUUGAGAGAUCGAGGAAAGUAAGAUGUGUGAAGUUGGAUAAAGAGGCAGGGAUUGUCCCCUCCAACAUGUUCCAUGAAAGAUCCAAUAUAGUGAGAGUAGUAGUACUGCAACUCAAGUUCGGAAACUGCUCGAGAGUAUUACGUGACAACCAUAAGUGUUUAAGUUUUGGUAAACAUAAGAUGUCAGUUUUCAAGUUUUCCUGAACUCCGGUGUAUUUAAGACUAAGAUUAACCAAAGAGGUAGAUAGAUUGAGUGGCCUCAUCGAACUAAAAGUCAUAUUUACAUAAUCCAAAAUAAGCUCCUCUAAAAUUGUUGCAUUUUGGAGGAACUUCUUCCAACUGUUUUCUUUCCACGUUAACAUAGUAAAAGAUAGAUCAAGUGAUUCUAAUUUGGAAAGUUGUGAGAUUUGGGAAGGAAUUUCACCUUCAAGGAAAAAAUUUCUAGACAGAUUAAGGUGUGUGAGGCUCACAAACCCACCAAAGAGAGACGACAAUCGAGAGGAGGAAAAGUCAUUUAAAGCAAGAUUAAGUGAUUGAAGAUGAGAAAGACGAAAAAGAGUAGUGUUUGGAUGGAGUUCACCUGAAAGACCACUGCAGGCGAGAUCAAGACCUAUGAUGUUUCCAGAAAUGGGGUGGCAAGUAACCCCAGACCAUGAGCAACAAUCUGUCGCAUUUUCCCAUGUUACGGUCUUUGGAACAACAUUCUCACAAAGAAAAUCAGAAUCAUUAUCACUGAAAGAGGUCUUGAAUUGGAGCAAGGCAGUUCUCUCAUGAAGAUGACAUAAGGAAUGGGAGGAUGAGAAGUGAAAGAGCAACGAAUGGCAACACAGAAAAAGCAACCACCCCACCCAUGACUCCAUUUGAAGUUGUGUUUAAGGAAAAGUGUUCACUUUGAUUUACUUAAAGCAAUGAAAGAUGAAGAUUUAUAGCCAAAAUAAAAUAGGAUAUGAACAUGAACACUCACAUUCUAAUCCUUUCAUUAAUGUUCCGGCAAAAACGGGGCCAUAUGAAUUGAUAUUUCAUCUUCAAAAUGGAAAACACAUUGGACUUGGGUUUACUAUUCCAACUGCAAGCAUUAAAGAGAUCACAUAACAGAUAAAUAUUUUAAAUAAACAAAAUGAGUUUAAUAUCACAUCAUUUUGUAAGAAUUAGCUACAAAAUCACUUAUUUUAUUUUUUUAUAAAAUUAAUAAAAUAAAAACUUUUCAUCAUAAAAUGCAUGAAAAAACAUGGAUAAUAAAAUUUUUAAAAUGAUGAUAAUUGAACGGUGAAAAGUGUAAUUAAGUAAAUAUUGUAUUCUUCCUUGUAAUCUUUAUCGUGAACAAAAUGCUAUUAUUUUUAUCUUUUUAGAUACAUUUUCUAUUUCUUUUUUUACCAUUUUUAAUUUUUGCAUAUUAUUUAUUUUUCAUCUGUUAACCAUAUAAAGAAUACCAUUUAAAAAAAAAAAAUUAAAGAUAUUGAUUUUAUUUUAUCUUCUUAGUAUAGUUUUAUAGGAUAUGUCGUGUGUUUUAGUUGAGUGUGUGGACUCAAACACUUGAAUUUUAAUACAUUGGGCCCUUUUCACUUUUCUGAACCAAAAGCCAAUGACCCCUUUUGUGAUUAAUAACUUUUAUGAAAGAUGAAGCUUCAAGAAUUAAGAGAAGGAAAUUAAUAACUUUUAAUUAGUUAGCAUUUUGUGUUAAUGGUUUCAUUUAUUUCAAAUUAAAAAAUGAAUUAGUUAAGUUGAGUACAUAAGGAACUUUUACUUGGAGAGUUGAAACUGAUGGUAAGAUAGAUAGAAAAUUAAACACUACAUUAGAAGAAGGAGGAGCAAAUAUAUGUCAAAAUAUACAACAACUUUUAAUUUAACCAAUAGUGACAAUUUAAUUCAAUAUUUUUUAGUGCUUAUGAUCUAUCUUUUAUCUUUUUUUAAGACUUUUGUGGGUGAUAUUUUUAUUAAGUUGAUUUUUGUGACUUGACUGAAAUUUUUUUGAAGAACUUCGAAUAACUACAAGACUGAGAUAAAAGAUAAGAACAGAUAUAUUAAAUAAUUUGUAAUAAAAUUUGUGAUACUUGAUUUGUUUUGGAAUUAGAUUGUUUUGAAAUUUUUAAAAUAAGUUUAUUUUGUUUUAAAAAUAUCUUAAUAAUGUAUUUAUAUUAUUAUCGUCUUUACUUGAAAUUUUUCUGAUCGUAUUAGUAGUGUUGAUAUGAACUUACUUUUGUGAGUUUGAAACUAAAGAAUAUAUAAAAUUUAGGAUCUUUAUGAGAUUGAAGAAAAAAAUAAAAUGUAACAUACUAAAUAUUUUUUAAUAUUGUUUGUGAUUAAAACUCAUAUACAGAAUAAAGAAUAUUUUGUACAUAUAUGUGUUUCAAUGUAUACAUAAUUAAUAAGCAUCAAACUCAUUCAAAAAGUCUACUCAUGCAUUCAUAUUCAUAUUGUGUUACACAUUGUACAUAAUAUAAACCUUCAAACAUACAUGCAUUCAAAUUCAUAUUGUGUUACACUUCAUAUUCAAAUUGUUUUUAUAUAUGAUAUAUGAAAUUACAAAUGUUAGUUGCUUAAUUUAAAUGUCUUUUUAUCAUUUUUUACUGAAAGUUAUUAAAACAGGUUUUAUUUAUCAUUCUUUUUAUUGAUAAUUAUUAAGAACAAAUUUUAUUAAAUUACGAGAUUGUACAAAUUAGUGGAUAACUACAAAAUAUUUAUACGUCACUUAAAAGUCAUAUAUUAUAUUUUACAAUUUAUUAGAAAAAUGGCAAUUAGAAACAUCCUACAUUAACAAAACAAUGGGAUUAUGUAUUUAUAGUAUGAAAAUGAUUGGAAUGAAUCAUUUUGUAUAUAAAAUAAUUGAAACCAAUUUCGUAUUAGAGUAUAGAGAAAAAACAUAUUUAACCCUAUAUUAAAGCAUAGGAGUUGGUCGAACCUUUGGUUUGUAUGACGAUGAUUUCUUGAAUUAUUUUUUAGCUCAGAUUGUAUGGGUUGAGUUAGGAUUGUUUAGUAAUUCUAGGCGUCUGGCGGUGUGCGUGUUGAGAUGGAGUGUCUUAGGUAUUUUAUGUUUGUAUAAGGGUUGAAUCACUCCUGAAGUGGUUCACAUUUAUUUAUUUUUUAUUGUCGAUAAAAAAAAGUAUAGGAGUUGGUGAUGUAUUCAAAUAAGACCAUUUUAUACUUUGUAACAACAAAAUCUAUGACGAUAUGCGAAACCGUCAUAUACAAAUACGUUUGUAACUCAUUAUGUACAAUAAAAAUUAUCAUUUUAAACACAAUUUUUGGGAGUGCACACUACUAGAACAUCAUUGAAUAGAAAUCAAUUUUAAAGACAAAAAUAAUUAGUUAUUAUAGUGACUAAAUUAGAAACCAUUUUAGAUACUAAAAAAAUUAUUGGUUUCUAAAUUAGUUUCUACUAUUAAUAAAAUCUAUGACAAUAUGUAAAUACAUCAUUUUAAAUACAAUUUUUUUGUAACGUAUAUACAAAGUAUAUUAUAUUGAAAAAAGUUAUAAUAAGAAAUUUAACAACAAUUUAUCAUUUUUUAUAUUUAAAUUUAAAGUUUAUAUAAUGUAUUAAAUUACAAAUGUUAUAAUUAUUCAAGUAUAAACAGUUUUUAUAUAUUGUAACGAUAAAAUCUAUAACAAUAUACGAAACCAUCGUAUACAAAAACGUUUAUAAAUGAUGUAUACAAUUAAAAUUUAUCUUAAACAGAUUUUUGUAGUAUAUAUGCAAAGUAUACUAUAGUAAAAUGAUUAUAAUAAUAAAUUAAAGGGUAGUUUACCAAUCUUAUGUUAAAAUUUAUUGACUAAAGAUGCAAAACGAGAUGGGUAAUUUAAUUUACCUAUAAAAGUGCAACAAUUUUUUGACUUAACCACAAUAUAUCAAUAUACAAGAGAUUAAGAAACAUAGUUAAUAAAAAUAACUACAUAUUAUUCUUCUGUUAGAUUAUGUGACCAUCACUUGGAUUUUUAAUUUCUAAUAAGAAAAUUCUUCUUCCAUUUUCAUAUGUGUUAAAUAAUUUUAAAUAAAAUAUAACUUUAUACUUUUAAAUAAUUAUGUGUUUUUAUAUCUUUCUUUCACCCGUAAUAUUUGAGAGUAGUUAAUUAUUUAAAAAAGUGUGUGAGGGUUAAUAAGAAGAUUUAUUAUGAAGGUUUGCUAAAGAGUUUAUAAGUCUACGAGUUAAAAUAAGAGUGUCUUUUAUCAUUUCAAUGUCUCAAUGUGUUUUAUAUACUAAAACGUUUAUUUCUAUAAUGAGAAUGUAAUAUUUUUUAGAGAAAAAUUUCUUUGACACAAUAAAUAGUAAAAAAAAUAUAUUUAAUAUUGCUUAUAAUAAUAUAAAUAAUAUUUUAAAUUAAAAAAUAAAAUAAAAUAAAAUAAAAAUAAAUAAAAUAUUAAUUUAUUUUACAUUUGAUAUAUCAUCUCAAUAUUACGACUUGAUUGAAAGGUUAGAUGUGUCACGAGAAAAUGAGUUUAUUCCUUUUGCAAACAAAAUUUGAAGAUGCAAACAAAGGAAAUGUAGUAACAAAAGUAGAACACAUUUAUUUCACAACUAAACAUUGAUCAAACCUCUCAUACAAUAUGAUGUGAUAAGAUUCUUGAUUUACAUUGAAAUUGAACAAAAACAAGUGCAUGGAACAUUCUCCACUAAUUUAUUCUGCUACAAUUCUCAUGACGUCCUUUUCCCCUUUAUAUUAAAACCACCUCACAAGCCAUUCAAGUUUUCCUAUAAUACAAAAGUCUGAGGCCAAUUCCAAAUAUCAUUCCACAUCCAUAUCCUAUAACCACUGGUUCCCAUCCAAAUCCAAAUCUCUCUUCUCCCAAUAAGCUCGGAGAAGAUGGAGGUUUUUGUUCAGUGUUGUUGCAACUCAUUGACAAUGGGAACCCACAUAAUCCCGAGUUUCCUAGGUAGGAGUCAUUUGAAAAAGUCGCAAACUGUUUUCCUUGAGGUAUUUCUCCCACAAGCUGGUUAUUGGAAAGAUUCAGGACUUCAAGAUAGUUCAGAUUGGUUAAUUCUGUUGGAAUCCUACCAGUAAACAUAUUUGAGGAGAGAUCCAUUGAUUCUAAAUUUGUCAAAUAUCCAAUGGAUUUGGGAAUAAGACCACUUAAUCUGUUAUGGGAAAAAUUGAGUCCUCUAAGAGCAUGAAGCUCUCCAAUUACAUAUGGAAUUUGUCCUUGAAAUUUGUUUUGGGAUAAAUCAAUGGUUACAAAGUUUUUCGGAAUUUGUUUCAAUGUCAUACUUAUCGCUUUUGUUGUUACAGUUACAUAUCCAAUUGUACCUCUUUGGGACCCAUUAUAUGGCAUAUAUGUAAUGCCAAUGUAUAGCUCAUCCCCUUCAUAUGAAAUGACAUUCUUCAUGGCUUUAAAAUUUUGUAUAUAGGUUUUUGGUAUUGGACCAUUGAAAUAGUUGGAUGAGAUAUCAAAAAUAACUAUACUUGAAAAUUCAUACUGCGUCUCUAAAUCGUCAAUGGGACCGUACAAUUUGUUGGAUCGCAAAACCAAUACUGUCAACAUUGGUAGAGUUUGAAGCCAAUGGGGAAAUUUAUCCUCAAUUUGAUUGUUGCCAAGAUUCAAGAUCUCCAACUGUGUGCAAUUGGACAAAGAUUUUGGCAAAGGACCUUCCAAUUGGUUGUCAUUAACAUUAAAAUAAGCGAGCUCACUAUUCAUUGAGAAGUUAUUUGGUAAAGUGCCAUUUAGUUUGUUCCUCUGUAGAUCCAAAAUAUAAAGGCCCCACAAGUUUGCAAGGCAUGGUGGAAUGACGCCUGUCAACUUAUUGUGGGACAAGAUGAGAACUUGAAGAUUACUUGCAUUACAAAUUGAGGAAGACAUGUCACCAGUGAGUAAAUUGAAACUAAUAUCAAGGAUAUUGAGGUUGUAGUUCCUUGAGAAUUGGUUUAUUGGAGUUGUCAACAAGUUGUGGGAUAGGCUCAAAAAUUGUAAUGAACCCAUUUCAUGUAACCACUUGGGCAUUGUUCCAUUCAAUUUGUUGUUGGAUAGAUCAAGCUCUAUCAAAAUUGGGAUUUUUCCUAGUAAUUUUGGAAAUUCAGUUAAACCCACAGAAGAUAAAUACAAUCUCUCUAAGAGAGGAGCAUUGGUGAAAAUUGUAUAGUUAUGAAGACCAUUGAAGUUGUUUGAUGAUAGACAUAAGUGAGUUAGGUUUACAAGGGUGAAGACUGAUUGUGGAAUAUUGCCAUGUAGCUUGUUGUAGCACAAAUAUAGAGACUUCAAGGAUUGAGAUGAGAUUGAAGGUAUAUGGCCUGUGAACUGAUUCUCUGAUAGAUCCAAUUCUUGCAAAAAUGGCAAAGAUAAACACCAAGUAGGAAUUGUCCCAUUUAGUAAGUUGUCUGUGAAGAAUAAAAAAGUUAGAUUUGAAAGCCCUGUUAUUUUGUUUGGUAGAGGGCCCUCCAAUCUAUUCUCUGAAAGAUCCAAGUGAAGAAGAUGUUGAAGAUUUGAAAGUGAGGAUGGAAUUUGGCCACUGAAUCGAUUGUAUCCAAGAUCCAAAAAUGUAAGAUGUGGAAGGGUUAAGAUUGAGGAUGGGAUUGAACCCUUGAGAUAGUUACUUGAGAGAUCGAGGAACGUAAUAUGUGUGAAGUUGGAGAAAGAGGCAGGGAUUGUCCCCUCCAACAUGUUCCUUGAAAGAUCCAACAUAGUGAGAGAAGCAGCACUGCAACUCAAGUUAGGAAACUGCUCAAGACUAUUAUCUGACAACCAUAAGUGUUUAAGUUUUGGUAAACAUAAGAUGUCAGUUUUCAAGUUUUCCUGAACUCCGGUGUAUUUAAGACUAAGAUUAACCAAAGAGGUAGAUAGAUUGAGUGACCUCAUCGAACUAAAAGUCAUAUUUACACCAUCCAAAAUAAGCUCCGCUAAAACUGUUGCAUUUUGAAGGAACUUCUUCCAACUGUUUUCUUUCCACAUUAACCUAGUAAAAGAGAGAUCAAGUGAUUCCAAUUUGGAAAGUUGUGAGAUUUGGGAGGGAAUUUCACUUCGAAAUUCAUAGUUAGAUAUAUUGAGGUGUGUGAGGUUCACAUACCCAACAGAAGGAAAUGAUAAUUGAGAGGAGUAAAAGUAAUUGAAAGUAAGAUUAAGUGAUUGAAGAUGAGAAAGACGGAAAAGAGAAGUGUUUGGAUGGAUUUCACCUGAAAGACGAUUGCAAGCGAGGUCAAGGCCUAUGACGUGACCAGAGAUGGGAUGGCAAAGAACCCCAGACCAUGAACAACAAUCUGUUCCAUUUUCCCAGGUUGACAUCUUUGGAACAAAAUUAUCACAAUCAGAAUAAUAAUAGUCAUGAACAUAAGCAAGAGAGUUCUUGAAUUGGAGCAACGCAAUUUUGUCGUGAAGAUGACAUAAGGAAUGAGAGAAUGAGAAGAGAAAGAGAAACCAAUGGGAACAUAAAAGAAGAAACCAACCCACCCAUGACUCCAUUUGAAAGUGUAUUUAAUGAAAAGUGUUAAGUGUGAUUUAAUUAAAGGAAUGAAAGAUGAAGAUUUAUAGCCAAAAUAAAAUAGGAUAUGAAGAUGAACACGGCAUCACUCAGCUUAUAAUAUUUUCAUUAAUGUUUCAAUUUCCAAAUUGCCUUGAAAGACGGGGCAUAUGGGUUGAUUUUCAUCUUCAAAUAAUGUAUUAUACUUUUCCACCAAAAUGGAAUUGACUUUAAGUCAAUGCCCCAAAAAUUGGGACUUGGGUUUACUAUUCUUCGUGUUUCGUGUUUCUUGGGUUUAACGGUAAAAAGUGGAAUUAAGUAAAUAUUGUAUUCUUCCUUACAAUCUUUAUCGUGAACAAAAUGCUAUUAUUUUUAUCUUUUAGAUACAUUUUCUAUUUCUUUUUGUAGCAUUUUUUAAUUUUUUUCAUAUUUUUUUCAUCUGCUAACCAUAUAAAGAAUACCAUUUUAAAACAAAAUUAAAGAUAUUGAUUUUAUUUUAUUUUCUUAGUAUAGUUUUCUAGGUUAUAAUGUGUAUUUUAGUUGAGUGUGUAGACUCAAACGCUUUAAUUUUAAUUCAUACAUCACAAUGAAUUUUUAAUGAGACCUUUAAUUAGUUAGCCUUUUGUGUUAAUGGUUUCAUUUAUCUGAAAAUUUAAAAAAUGAAUUAGUUAAAAAUAACACUACAUAUUAAAGAACUUUUACUUGGAGAGUUGAAAUUGAUGGUAUGAUAGAUAGAAAAAUAAACACUACAUUAGAAAACUUAUAUUUAAAAAUAUACAACAACUUUUAAUUUAACCAAUAGUGACAAUUUAAUUCAAUAUUUUUUAGUGCUUAUGAUCUAUCUUUUAUCUUUCUAUUCAAGAAUUUCAAGUUUCAGACUGAAUUGCAGGUAAAUGUUUAGUAUCUUUGGAAGGCUGAAAUAAAUGUUAAGAGUUAAAGUACUAACUAUUUUUUAAAAUAGCUUGUGAUUCUUAUAAUUUUUUUUUAUAAAUUUGAUGAUUAUGAAUUUUUUAAUAUAGGUUUAUUUUAUUUUAAAUAUAUAAGUAAUGUAUUUAUAUUAAAAUUUUGUGGUGAUAUUUAUAUUAACAUGUUUUUGUUAGUUUAAGACUAAAAUAAAUGUAAGAGUUUUGGUCUUCUUACCAACUAAAAAAGUAUGAAUAAACGUACUAACAAUUUUUUAUUUCUUUCAUGAUUUCGGAAUUGGAUGGUUUUUUUUUUAAUAUAUGUUUAUUUUGUUUUUAAAAAUAUUUCAAUAAUGUAUAUACAUUAUUGUUGUCUUUAUUAAGACUUUUGUGGAUGAUAUUAAUUUGUUGUUGUGAGUUUGAAACUAAAGAAUAUAUAAAUAUCUUUCAAUAUUGUUUGUGAUUAAAACUCAUACAAAACAAAUAAAAUUUUGUAUAAAUUUAUGUAAAUGUAUACAUAAUUAGUAAUCAUUAAACUCAUUCAAAAAGUCUACUGAUACAUUCACAUUGUAGACAAUAUAAACCUUCAAACAUACAUGCUAAUAUCAUUAUAACAUAAUAUAAAAUAUUUGUUGCCUCUAUUUGGACUUUUGUGGUAGUGUUUAUCCUGACCUACAUGUAUGAGUUGUUUGUGAUUUUUUGCAUUUUUUUAAAAUUCAUGAUUCUUUUAGUUUUUAAUAUAGAUUUAUUUAUUUUAUUUACAAUAUAUUUGCCUUUACUUGAAUUUUUGUGUUAUCAUUGAUUAUGUUAACAAGCUUUAUGAAUUUGAGACUAAAACAAAUGUUAAGAAAUUAGGGUUUUAGUAAAACUGAAGCAUAAGAUAAAAAAAACUAACAAACUAAUUGUUUUUUAAUACUGUUUGUAACAGCGUAAAAAGAUAAAAGCAGAGCCACACCCCUCUCCCCACACAGUGCCUUUUAUUUUCUUUUUCUUUUUCUCUCUUCAUAUUCUUUUCUCUUCCUCUUUUUUAAUUUUCUCUCCCAAUAUUCAUCUAUUUUAGAAUCUAAUCGGACCACGUUGUAGCUGACGAGUUAAGGAACAUUUCUACCCUAUCAGAUUUUCAAACAGAGUAAGUUCAUUUUUGCUCUAAAGUUCCUUUGUUCUUUAUUUUUCCUUAAGAUUUAGUCAUCAAUCUUGGUGGGGUCAGUUGAGAAGUUUAAUCCUCUCAACUUAUUCUACUAUAUACUGAAUUUUUGUUCUGUUUGGAUAACUUGCAUUAGGCCCGUAAAUCUUGAAGUUUAUCGACGGUGGGAAAUAAAAUUCUAAAAGUUGCUUGAGGUAAGGGAAGCUAAAUUUAAUUUUUAAUAGCACCCUAGGAUAGAAGAUAUGAAUGCGAAAAGGACGUGGUCCCAAUAUUCAAUUUUUCUUGCAGGGAUGUUGUGUGUUAUAUAUAUUGGGUUGUUUGUUUAUAUAUUAUUUAAAUUUGUGGAAAUAUUAGGUUUUGAUGAUUUAGUAUUAAAGUGUUAUUUUUUUUAUGUCAAAUAGACUUUUGAAUAUUGUGGAUUACUUUUGAAAUGAUAUUGUAUGACGGAAUGGUAUGGAAUUGAAUUCAUACAUUUGGGAUAAUGUAUGGACUGAUGUUUGUUGUGUAUUAAGUAUUGAUGCCUAUGUGGUAACAGAGAUCUCCGAGCUUCACUGAUGAUCUAAGUCACAUAGAUUAAGACAUCAGGUGGUGAGAAGCUGAUGGGGGAGUUCAUGCACACCGUGACAUAUGAGAUGUACGACUUUGGUUGUAUUGAACUUACCCUGAUCUUUUCUGUUGGAUUCGCUGAUAAUCUUUGGAUCAGGUGUUAGUCUCUGGUAGGACUGACUUAAUACGGAUCUUCCGGAAGACGUUGUUUGUUGAAUAUUCUGGAUGUGUAGAUCCAUGUGAGAUCUAUGUGAUUGUUUUAUGUUGGAAUUUGAAGAAGAUUGAAUAAUUGAGAAAUUGACCAUGUAAUUUGAUUUUCUCUUUUAAUUUAAUUUCAUAUAUUAUAAAAUUUUAUUUUCACUAGCUUACCCUUGCUUUUUGUGUUGUGUUUAAACUGCGAUGACUGUACUAUGUACACGAGCAGAUGACCAUACAGGUGCAGGAAAGUCUUAGAGGUUUCAGAGUUUUAUUUUUAGCUAUGAAUAUGUAAAUAUUUGUAUUUCUAUAAAUCCUAAUAAUGUAUUAGGAAUGUUUUGAAAAACUUCAAAUUUGUAUAGAAAUACGUAGAACUUGUAUUGUAAUAGUUAGAUAUUAUUUUCUGGGGUGUUACACUGUUUAUGUGUUUCUUCCGUUCUUUCAAAUUUGGAUCAUUCUUGAUUUUUUAAUAUAUAUUUAUUUUAUUUUAAAAAUAUCUGAUUAAUGUAUUUAUAUUAUUUUUGUCAUUUUAGGACUUUUGUGUCCAACAUAGGAAUUGAGUUGGAGUCGGUGCCGACAAAAAUGAGAAACAUGCCAGAUAAAUAUUUUAAAUAAACAAAAUGAGUUUAAUAUGACAUCAUUUUGCAGUAAUUAGCUACAAAAUCACUUAUUUUAUCUGUUUAUAAAUAAAAAAAUAAAAAAAUUUCAUGAUAAAAUGCAUGAAUACAUGGAUGAUAAAAUUUGUCAAAUGAUGAUAAUUUAACGGUAAAAUGUGUAAUUUAGUAAAUAUGUUAUUCUUUCUUAUAAUCUUUAUCGUCAACAAAAUGUUAUUAUUUUUAUCUUUUCAAAUACUUUUUCUAUUCUUUUUAGCAUUUUUAAUUUUUUAAUAUUAUUUAUUUAUUUGUCAUCUGUUAAUCAAAUAAAUACUACUAUAGUUAAAAACAAAUAUAGAUAUUGAUUUGAUUAUAAAUUGUUUAAGAAUUAAAAGGUAUUUACCAAACUUGUUGAAGAGAAUCAACUUAAUUAUAAGUACUUAUGUACGAGCUGACAAUAAAAAUAAAUAAAUAAAUAUAUUUACUACAACAUUAUAUUGCCAAUUUGUCUUGUUUUUUUUUAACUUGUACAAUACAUACGUUUAUAACUUGGAGGAUGAAGUAGAUGUAAGAGUUUAGGAUGUUUAUAAAAAUUAAGCAAAAGCAUAAAAAUCUAGAUUUUUAUUGUGAUGUUUAUAUUAACUUUAUCAUGAUAUGUUAAUAAUAUAGUUAUACAUUAUAAUGGUGACUCCAUUAUAAUCACCUCAUAACACCAUUUAAUCUUUUAAGAUAUUUUUAUAACCUUCAGGUUUAGUUCAUCUAUACCAGAAUAUCUAUCAUUCAUUUUCAUUCAAACUUGUAAUAUGUAUAAUAAAAUGUUUGUUUCUUUGGAUAAGAAUUCAAAGUGAAAAAUCAAUAAAUAACUUGAGACAGAAAUUGUGAAUAACGUUGUUUUUUCAUUUGUUAUGCUUUAAACAAUAAAAAGAGUUAUAAUAUAUUUUAGAUAAAUUAAUGUUAAAAAUUUGUAAUUUCUUUUAGAUUUGAUAUGUACUAUCAUUUUAAUAUUACGCUUUGAUUGUUAGGUUAAAUAUGUCAAAAGAAAGUGAGUUUAUUUCUUUCACAAACAAAAUUUGAAGAUGCAGACAAAGGAAAUGUGGCAACAAAAGUAGAACACAUUUAUUUCACAAGUAAACAUUGAUCAAAUCUCUCAUACAAUAUGAUGUGAUAAGAUUCUUGAUUUACAUUGAAAUUAAACAAAAACAAGUGCAUAGAACAUUCUCCACUUAUUUAUUUUGCUACAAUUCUCAUGACUUCUUUUUCCCCAUUAUAUUAAGACCACCUCACAAGCCAUUCAAGCUUUCCUAUAAUACAAAAGUCUGAGGCCAAUUCCAAAUAUCAUUCCACAUCCAUAUCCUAUAACCACUGGUUCCCAUCCAAAUCCAAAUCUCUCUUCUCCCAAUAAGCUCGGAGAAGAUGGAGGGUUUUGUUCAGUGUUGUUGCAAUUCAUUGACAAUGGAAACCCACAUAAUCCCGAGUUUCCUAGGUAGGAGUCAUUUGAAAAAGUCGCAAACUGUUUUCCUUUAGGUAUUUCUCCCACAAGCUGGUUAUUGGAAAGAUUCAAGACUGCUAGAAAGUUCAUAUUGGUUAAUUCUGUUGGAAUCCUACCAGUGAACAUAUUUGAAGAGAGAUCCAAUGAUUCUAAGUUUGUCAAAUAU